rnacentral:rRNA from 1 species
AUUGAACGCUGGCGGAAUGCUUUACACAUGCAAGUCGAGCGGCAGCGCGGGGGCAACCCUGGCGGCGAGCGGCGAACGGGUGAGUAAUACAUCGGAACGUGUCCUUAAGUGGGGGAUAGCUCGGCGAAAGCCGGAUUAAUACCGCAUAAGCUCUGAGGAGGAAAGCGGGGGCUCCGUAAGGACCUCGCGCUGUUGGAGCGGCCGAUGUCGGAUUAGCUAGUUGGUGGGGUAAAGGCCCACCAAGGCGACGAUCCGUAGCUGGUCUGAGAGGAUGAUCAGCCACACUGGAACUGAGACACGGUCCAGACUCCUACGGGAGGCAGCAGUGGGGAAUUUUGGACAAUGGGGGCAACCCUGAUCCAGCCAUUCCGCG